UUCCCAGCUCACUGUUUAUGUUUUGUUUUUUCCCCCAGGCUGUAGCUGAGUAUCUGAGUUUCUGAGUUUCAAGAAGAAUUUAGUUCAACUUCUGCCAUCCAGAGUAGUUGAGGAUUUACAUAUCACUUUAGCUUGCCUCAAAAAUUGAAGAAACACUGCAUGAUCGCCCUUGAAUUUUUAACCUUAUAAGGUGAUGGACAAAGUAGGCAAGGGAAGGAGUUAUCACCAUGGUGUCGGGGUUGCAACUUCAAUGUUUAGCUUGGUUCCAGGUCUUUCACAAACUCAAAUAAGUCAAGAAUUAGAAAUGCAAAAAAUUGAUGAAUGGGCUUCUUUGUUGGGUUAGUGUGUGAGACAUAUGUUCCAUUAUGUAUUUGUACUUGGUAGUAAUUUGUACGAUGAAUGUGUAAAGAAUAUUGUAUCACACUUUGAUCAUAUAUAAAUGUUCAACUUUGUCAUA